rnacentral:tRNA from 1 species
GCCCUUGUAGCUCAGUAGGUAGAGCACUUCCUUGGUAAGGAAGAGGUCACCGGUUCGAAUCCGGUCAAGGGCUCCA